rnacentral:rRNA from 1 species
GGUUAAGUGACUAAGCGUACACGGUGGAUGCCUGGGCAGUCAGAGGCGAUGAAGGACGUACUAACUUGCGAUAAGCGCAGAUAAGGCAGUAAGAGCCGUUUGAGUCUGCGAUUUCCGAAUGGGGAAACCCAACUGCAUAAGCAGUUACUGUUAACUGAAUACAUAGGUUAACAGAGCAAACCGGGGGAACUGAAACAUCUAAGUACCCCGAGGAGAAGAAAUCAACCGAGAUUCCGGUAGUAGCGGCGAGCGAACCUGGAUUAGCCCUUAAGCACUCGGUGAAGUAGGUGAACAAGCUGGAAAGCUUGGCGAUACAGGGUGAUAGCCCCGUAACCGACGCUUCAUCGAGCGUGAAAUCGAGUAGGGCGGGACACGUGAUAUCCUGUCUGAAUAUGGGGGGACCAUCCUCCAAGGCUAAAUACUCCUGACUGACCGAUAGUGAACCAGUACCGUGAGGGAAAGGCGAAAAGAACCCCUGUGAGGGGAGUGAAAUAGAACCUGAAACCGUGUACGUACAAGCAGUAGGAGCACCUUCGUGGUGUGACUGCGUACCUUUUGUAUAAUGGGUCAGCGACUUAUAUUCAGUGGCAAGGUUAACCGUAUAGGGGAGCCGUAGCGAAAGCGAGUCUUAACUGGGCGCUCAGUCUCUGGAUAUAGACCCGAAACCGGGUGAUCUAGCCAUGGGCAGGUUGAAGGUUGAGUAACAUCAACUGGAGGACCGAACCGACUAAUGUUGAAAAAUUAGCGGAUGACUUGUGGCUAGGGGUGAAAGGCCAAUCAAACUCGGAGAUAGCUGGUUCUCCCCGAAAGCUAUUUAGGUAGCGCCUCGGACGAAUACUACUGGGGGUAGAGCACUGUUAAGGCUAGGGGGUCAUCCCGACUUACCAACCCUUUGCAAACUCCGAAUACCAGUAAGUACUAUCCGGGAGACACACGGCGGGUGCUAACGUCCGUCGUGGAGAGGGAAACAACCCAGACCGCCAGCUAAGGUCCCAAAGUAUUGCUAAGUGGGAAACGAUGUGGGAAGGCUCAGACAGCUAGGAUGUUGGCUUAGAAGCAGCCAUCAUUUAAAGAAAGCGUAAUAGCUCACUAGUCGAGUCGGCCUGCGCGGAAGAUGUAACGGGGCUAAGCAAUACACCGAAGCUGCGGCAAUAUCUUUUAGAUAUUGGGUAGGGGAGCGUUCUGUAAGCCGUUGAAGGUGAAUCGUAAGGUUUGCUGGAGGUAUCAGAAGUGCGAAUGCUGACAUGAGUAACGACAAAGGGGGUGAAAAACCUCCUCGCCGGAAGACCAAGGGUUCCUGUCCAACGUUAAUCGGGGCAGGGUGAGUCGACCCCUAAGGUGAGGCCGAAAGGCGUAAUCGAUGGGAAACGGGUUAAUAUUCCCGUACUUCUGACUAUUGCGAUGGGGGGACGGAGAAGGCUAGGUGGGCCAGGCGACGGUUGUCCUGGUUCAAGUGCGUAGGCUUGAGAGUUAGGUAAAUCCGGCUCUCUCUAAGGCUGAGACACGACGUCGAGCUGCUACGGCAGUGAAGUCAUUGAUGCCAUGCUUCCAGGAAAAGCCUCUAAGCUUCAGAUAGUUAGGAAUCGUACCCCAAACCGACACAGGUGGUCGGGUAGAGAAUACCAAGGCGCUUGAGAGAACUCGGGUGAAGGAACUAGGCAAAAUGGUACCGUAACUUCGGGAGAAGGUACGCUCUUGAUGGUGAAGUCCCUCGCGGAUGGAGCUGACGAGAGUCGCAGAUACCAGGUGGCUGCAACUGUUUAUUAAAAACACAGCACUGUGCAAAAUCGCAAGAUGACGUAUACGGUGUGACGCCUGCCCGGUGCCGGAAGGUUAAUUGAUGGGGUUAGCGCAAGCGAAGCUCUUGAUCGAAGCCCCGGUAAACGGCGGCCGUAACUAUAACGGUCCUAAGGUAGCGAAAUUCCUUGUCGGGUAAGUUCCGACCUGCACGAAUGGCGUAAUGAUGGCCACGCUGUCUCCACCCGAGACUCAGUGAAAUUGAAAUCGCUGUGAAGAUGCAGUGUACCCGCGGCUAGACGGAAAGACCCCGUGAACCUUUACUACAGCUUGGCACUGAACAUUGAACCUACAUGUGUAGGAUAGGUGGGAGGC